rnacentral:tRNA from 1 species
CAAAAAAUAGUUUAUAAUAAAAUAUUAAUUUUGGAAAUUAAUGAAAUAUUUAUGUAUUUUUUUGA